CUUUUAAUUGAAGUCUAGAAUGAAUGGUUUGACGAGAAAUUAACUGUUUCAAGCGUAUAAUUGAAUUUUACUUUUGAGUGAAAAGGCUCAAAUAAAGUAGUGGGACGAUAAGACCCUAUGAAGCUUAUACAUAGUUUGGUUGAUAAACUCUAAUAUAAAAGUGAUUGGGUUUCAUACGAAUCUUUGUUUUGCUGGGGCGGCAGGGAUAGAUAAUUAACUGUCCAUUAAUUAAAAAUAAUUUUGCUUAGUAAGUUGAUCUUCUAAUAGGGAUUAUAAAAUAAAGUUACUCUAGGGAUAACAGCGUA
rnacentral:rRNA from 1 species